rnacentral:lncRNA from 1 species
UUUCCAGUGAAGUGGGAAGCUCACUGAGCACCAUCACUCAUUGUGGUCUGUUUGCCUUCAUUUACUCUCAGAGUGGGCAGAGUCUUGAAUAGCUAGAAGCACAGGGAAAGGCAAAGCAGCAAAACACAAAAGGAAAGGAAGAAUUUACAUUCUGCCUCAUGGGCCAACCGGAGACCUGAACUCAGAAUCUUGCCUUCUGGGUGUAUGUCCUUCUUUUUGCCAUAUCCAGGUUCUUUCCAUUUCUGCUUGGAGAGACCUGCUGAAACCACACUUGAGGGAGGCAAUGUGGCUCUCCCUGACCAGGUACAG